UUAUAAUCCUGCUGCUCAAUUAUAUCAUUCUGAUCAAUAUGUUUUCUAUGCUGCAAGUUCGCUCAAGACGUGUAGCUGAUUUAUAUGUUGAAUUGCAUGGUUUGAGGUAUUGAAAUUUGGUUAUUUCUAUGCUGCAAGUUCGCUCAAGACGUGUAGUUUCUUAUGACAUUUUCAUUUCAUUCUAACAAGCUUACCUUAAUGCAAAGGAUUUGAAUCCAUCACUAUUGUCUUAAGAGCAUGUUCUUGAACCCUAACUCCCAAUUUCUCUGCUUCUCAGUCAGAAGAGUAUCAAAUAAAGUUCAAAAGUAAAAAAAUGUGUUGAUUAUGGUUGUUUCGAUUCUGCUGGUGAUGGUUGGUGUUCGGCACAUUUUCGGAACUCUUUAAAGAAAGCAGAUGACUUUUUGAAGGAACAGCACACACAGACUAUUUCAAGUAUGUCCACCAAGUGUUGACGAAAUUAUGUAGGGAUUAUGAAAUAUGGAGGAGGAAUAUUCUUGAGAAAUGUAAUUAUUAUAUUGUAAACGAUAUGCAGUGUGUUUUUGAAGGGAUCAUGAUGAGUUUAGUGUAACAGGUUAUGUUUGUAGAGACAGGCUGUGAAGUUUAUGUUACUUUGAAGGUGGGAUGGUGAGGUUUGAAUAAGGUUUAUUUUGUUUUA